AACGAACGCUGGCGGCAUGCCUAACACAUGCAAGUCGAACGGGACCUUCGGGUCUAGUGGCGCACGGGUGCGUAACGCGUGGGAACCUGCCCUUAGGUUCGGAAUAACUCCCCGAAAGGGGUGCUAAUACCGGAUAAUGUCUUCGGACCAAAGAUUUAUCGCCUUUGGAUGGGCCCGCGUUGGAUUAGCUAGUUGGUAGGGUAAAAGCCUACCAAGGCGACGAUCCAUAGCUGGUCUGAGAGGAUGAUCAGCCACACUGGGACUGAGACACGGCCCAGACUCCUACGGGAGGCAGCAGGGGGGAAUAUUGGAAAAUGGGCGAAAGGCUGAUCCAGCAAUGCCGCGGGAGGGAUGAAGGCCUUAGGGUUGGAAAGCCCUUUUACCCGGGAUGAUAAUGACAGUACCGGGAGAAUAAGCUCCGGCUAACUCCGUG
rnacentral:rRNA from 1 species